rnacentral:rRNA from 1 species
GAUUGUGGGUAAGGGCGUGUGGUGGAUGCCUUGGCAGACAGGACCGAUGAAGGACGUGGUGGGCUGCGAUAAGCCUCGGGGAGUUGCCGAAUGAGCGUUGAUCCGAGGGUGUCCGAAUGGGGUAACCCGGCUACUGUUGUGGGUAGUCACUAGCUUUGGCUAGAGGGUACGCAGGGAAGUGAAACAUCUCAGUACCUGCAGGAAAGGAUACUCCGUGAGUAGUGGCGAGCGAAAGCGGAUGAGACUAAACCUUGUGCGUGUGAUACCCGUCGGGGGUUGCGUAUGAGGGGUCGUGGGAGAUCGUUUUUUCAGUGCCGACGUGCUGGACGCGAGUGAGAAAAUUCUGGUUGAGGUGAACUGGUUUGAAGACCGGACCGUAGAGGGUGAUAGUCCCGUAGCUGGUUGAUCAGGGUCUCGUGGAUGGUGUUCCCAAGUAGCUCGGGCCUCGUGGAAUCCCGAGUGAAUCUGCUCAGACCGUUGGGUAAGUCUAAGUAUUCCUGUCUGACCGAUAGUGUACUAGUACCGUGAGGGAAAGGUGAAAAGCACCCCGGGAGGGGAGUGAAAGAGUUCCUGAAACCGCGCGCUUACGAUCCGUCGGAGCCUUGUUAUGGGGUGACGGCGUGCCUAUCGAAAAAUGAGUCUGCGAGUCAGUGGCAUGUGGCGAGUAUAACCCGUGUGGGGUAUGCGUAGCGAAAGCGAGUCUUAAAUGGCGUGUGAGUCGUGUGUCCUGGACCCGAAGCGGGAUGAUCUAGCCCUGAGCAGGUUGAAGCAUGGGUAAGACUGUGUGGAGGACCGUACCCACCUGGGUUGAAAACCGGGGGGAUGACUUGGGGUUAGGGGUGAAAGGCCAAUCAAAUUCCGUGAUAGCUGGUUCUCUCCGAAAUGCAUUUAGGUGCAGCGUUGGUUGAUUGCGUCUGGGGGGUAGAGCGACUGGAUGCUUGCGGGCCCGUAUUGGGUACUAAUAGCAGCCAAACUCCGAAUACCUGUGGCGUGUAUGCUGGCAGUGAGUCGGCGGGGGAUAAGCUCCGUCGUCAAAAGGGAAACAGCCCAGAUCGUCGUCUAAGGUCCCUAAGCGUGUGCUAAGUGGGAAAGGAUGUGGAGUCGCAUAGACAGCCAGGAGGUUGGCUUAGAAGCAGCCAUCCUUGAAAGAGUGCGUAACAGCUCACUGGUCUAGUGGUUCCGCGCCGACAAUGUAGCGGGGCUUAAGCACACCACCGAAGACACGGCAAUACCGUUUGGUGUUGGGUAGGAGAGCGUCCUGUAUGGGGUGAAGCUGUGGUGUAAACCUAUGGUGGACUGUAUGGGAGUGAGAAUGCAGACAUGAGUAGCGAGAGCGGAGUGCGAAUCUCCGCCGCUGGAUGACUAAGGGUUCCGGGGCCACGUUCGUCGUCCCCGGGUGAGUCGGGUCCUAAGGCGAGGCCGACAGGCGUAGUCGAUUGGAUGAACGGGUUGAUAUUCCCGUACCAGUAUGAGACCGACAGAACUGAGGCCAUGAGUACUAACCUUCAUUAAUCGUUGAUCCAGCUUUCGGGUUGGUGAUGUGGUUGGUGUUGGGAUUGUAGUGGUAGUAGGUUGGCACAGGAGUGACACAGGAGGGUAGCCGGCUGUGGAGGUGGUUUUCCAUGGUUAAGCGUGUGGCCUGUAUUCUAGGUAAAUCCGGAGUACAUAUAGGGUGAGGCGUGAUGAUGGGAGCGUAUGCUCGAAUUCGGUGAUCCCAUGCUGUCGAGAAAAGCUUCGGUGUUAGGGCUUGUACUGCUCGUACCCUAAACCGACACUGGUGGUCAGGUAGAGAAUACUAAAGCGAUCGAGCGAAUCCUGGUCAAGGAACUCGGCAAAUUACUCCCGUGCCUUCGGUAUAAGGGAGACCCCUGAUGGUGAGAAUAUGUACUGUUGGAGCUGUUGGGGGUGGCACAGGCCAGGGGGUAGCGACUGUUUACCAAAAACACAGGAGCGUGCGAAGGCGUAAGCCGCUGUAUACGCUCUGACGCCUGCCCGGUGCCGGAAGGUUAAGAGGAUCCGUUAAAUCUUUUGGUUGAAGCGGUGAAUUUAAGCCCCGGUAAACGGCGGUGGUAACUAUAACCAUCCUAAGGUAGCGAAAUUCCUUGUCGGGUAAGUUCCGACCUGCACGAAUGGCGUAACGACUUCCCCACUGUCUCGACCAGGAGCUCGGCGAAAUUGCAGUACGAGUAAAGAUGCUCGUUAAGCGCAGAAGGACGAAAAGACCCCGGGACCUUUACUAUACCUUGGUAUUGGCGUUAGGCGCGGAUUGUGUAGCAUAGGCGGGAGACUGUGAAGCUCAGGCGCUAGCUUGGGUGGAGUCGUAAGGUGAAAUACCGCUCUGUUCUCGUUUGACGUCUAACCACAGCACGUUAUCCGUGUUUGGGACAGUGCCUGGCGGGUAGUUUAACUGGGGCGGUUGCCUCCUAAAGAGUAACGGAGGCGCUCAAAGGUCCGCUCAGCCCGGUUGGUAAUCGGGUGUUGAGUGUAAUCGUACAAGCGGGCUUGACUGUGAGACUGACGGGUCGAGCAGGGACGAAAGUCGGAGAUAGUGAUCCGGUGCCGGCGCACGGGCGUGGCAUCGCUCAACGGAUAAAAGGUACCCCGGGGAUAACAGGCUGAUCAUUCCCAAGAGUCCAUAUCGACGGGAUGGUUUGGCACCUCGAUGUCGGCUCGUCGCAUCCUGGGGCUGGAGCAGGUCCCAAGGGUUCGGCUGUUCGCCGAUUAAAGCGGCACGCGAGCUGGGUUCAGAACGUCGUGAGACAGUUUGGUCUCUAUCCUCUGCGCUCGUUGGAAUCUUGAGGAGGCCUGCCCAUAGUACGAGAGGACCUGGGUGGACGAACCUCUGGUAUGCCAGUUAUCCCGCCAGGGGUAUGGCUGGUUAGCUACGUUCGGAAGGGAUAACCGCUGAAAGCAUCUAAGCGGGAAGCCCGCUCCAAGAUAAGGAUUCCGUAACCAUUUGGUUUGAACCCUCCAUGAAGAACACGUGGUUGAUAGGCCGGACGUGGAAGCCCUGUAAAGGGUGGAGCUGACCGGUACUAACAGGGAACAACAAUCACUAUA